AAAAGUUUAAUUUCUGCUGAUAUUGCAUAUCCAACAAGGACUGGAAGAGGGAAUCUUCACUUUGGACCCUAAAAGGUCCAGCCUGAUUUUGAAAUUUGAAGACAAAUUGAUAGGUGGAAACACGAUUCAAGAGAAAGUGAACACACCAUUGUUACUACAGACAGAAGGUGGAUUGAGGAAGAAUGGCUUAUUUAAUUGGUGAAUUUUAGAGAAGAAAUUGAGAAUGUCUGCUACUUUUCAUCCCUCCUGAAACUACUACUAUUUUUAGAGGUGCCUAACAUGUUGACCUGCUCUUUGGUAGGUGGUAAACUUGCCUUGCAAACUCUUCUGCAAGAAAGGCUUGGGAUCUU
rnacentral:lncRNA from 1 species